UUUGCUUGGGGUUUUGCCUUCCCCACUGUUUCCCAGUUCCAGUCCCAAAGAUGAACCGGCUCGUCCGUACACAUUCUGUCGCCAUGAGGUCUCUCCGAUACUUCCACCGCCGGCCGCCACUUUAGCUUCGGCCGUUAUCCCUUCAACAGGUUUUUCCCGUUUGCGAUUUUUUUGUGCUCUGAGAAAUCUGAAUGAAUUUGUUUUCUUCGAUUUCUGAAUUCUAUGGAGGCUUGGAGAAUGAUGUGUCGUUACCAGAUAACGCCGCCGGUGAUCCGGAUUGUGCCGGAGAGGAAGACGUAUGUGAUCGAGCGGUUUGGGAAGUACGUGUAGACGCUGCCGUCUGGGAUUCAUUUCCUCAUUCCACUUGUGGAUCGUAUUGCAUAUAUCCAUUCCCUCAAGGAAGAAGCCAUUCCGAUUCUGAACCAUUCUGCAAUCCCAAAAGAUAAUGUCAGCAUCCACAUUUAAGAUAGUGAUCCUAAAUUGGCUUCAUAUGGGGUCGAAAAUCGUAUAUAUGCGGUUGCACAGUUAGCUCAGACUACAAUGCGCAGUAAGAUCACACCUUGACAAGGCUUUUGAAGAAAGGGACACUCUCAAUGAGAAGAUAGUGGAAGCAAUCAGUGUUGCUGCAAAAGAUUGGUUGCUUCAGUUAUGAGAUUAGCGAGGGGAUAUUAUGGCUCCAACAUUGAGUGAGAGCCGCCAUGGAAAUGCAAGCUAAAUCUGAACGUAUAAAGAGAGCCCAAAUCCUUGAAUCUGAAAGGCAGCUAGCUUGAGAGUUGCAGGGCAAAACACUAAUAAUGCGUUGGGCAGCAUUGCCAUGGUGGGGACAACAAUGUUGGUUCCGAGUACUGCUGCCAACCCCACUAAGGAGUAACCAUGGUUGCUGAACAUGAGGCACAAUCUUUUCUUUGCCUCGGGCUUCUAGAACUUCACCAUUUUCGAAAUAGAAAACGAAUCUGAAUUUUGUGUCUUUGAUCUUUGUUAUUUUGUUUUCAAUGGAUGGACUGGUAGCUUCUCUCUCAGGUCUUAACAAUAGAAAAAGAAACAAGAUCCUCAAAAGAACUGGGAAAUGGAAGAGGAAUGGUGGAGAAUACAAGGGACCAAUGUAAAGAAAGAGAAAGGAAAACGAGAAGACCAGGUUGGCUUUCGUCCCAACGGUUGAAUAGCUCCAACAGAGAAAACUACGGUGUCCGAAUCUGACCAUGUUUGGGACAUUACCAUAAAUAGCAUGUCUCCUCCUCUGUUAUAUAAACCCCCUCUUUUCCAUCUUCUCAAUUUGCUCAGCCUUGAAUUUUCAUCUUUUGACUGAUUUUUCUUUUGUGAAGGAGUUUUCCACAGGCCCCUUCGCUCCACAGCUCCGUCCCAUUGUUCGUUCGUUUUUUAGUAAUAACCGUUUGGAACGAGAACCAUGGGAGGCUGUGCGAGCAAACCUAAGGAGUCUGAUAUCAUCGAGGAGUCUGCCCCUGUUGACCCUCCUCCGACUGACGCUGUCGAGGCCAAGAACGUCGAGACAGUGACCGCUGCCGAGGAGAAAGCAGAGGAAGCUGUUGCUGAGAAGAAGGAAGUGGCAGAUGAAGAGAAGGAAGCAGAGGAGGAGGAGGCCAAGCCAGCAGCAGUCGCUGAGGAUCCCAAGGAAGCUCCCGCCGAGACUGAGCCACCACCCAAAGAAGAGGCCGCCACUGCCUAAUUGUUCUCUCCCAUUUCAGCUCUUUUGAGUUGUAUUCCCAUUUUCAUACAUUUCAUUCCAGAGGGACUUGAACAUGCGUAAGAUUCAUGGUAAUCAUCAUCUACAUUUACACGAGGGGCUUACGAUUUUUUGUUUAAUGAUAAACGUUGUGAUUUUUUUUUUAAUGGACAAUUUAGAACAUUCUGUGAUU